AUGCACAUUGCUGAUGACCUCAGCUUGUCAUAUCACUGUGCAGUCCUGACCGAGAAGGAUUAUCGACCCUGCUUUCAUUUGAACUGGACUGGAACCCUCUCAGUCAGCCUGGUGUCUUCAAGACAGCCCCUCAAGGGUCAUGAAAUGACUCCAAACACAACAGGACAUCAGUAACUUCAAAGACCAUAUGACAAGACGGUUUAUUGAAGGAUGAAGCAUCUACCUAUCUUAAGACUGGCUCAGAGGUCACAAGGAAAAGUGAAAUUCCCUCUCAGGACCUUGGACGCCAGGGUGCCAUGGAUUGUGUAGAUGCGUAUCUACAUGACUGUUUGUUAACACCAACACCGCUAUCAUGGAAGAGAACAGGAAACAAAUAGUGUGUUGAUUGUAAUUCUCUGUUUCAUUUCACUGCACCCAUCAAUUAUAUCUAUGUAUCAAUACAUGUAUGCAUGUAAUGCUUAUGAGUUGCCACUCGUAACAUUUCAAACUGUAUUAAUAAUGUUUUUCAUGCAUUUCUUAAUAUGUGGUGUCCUGUAAAUUCAUCAGUCUAAACUGUAUGCUUGCAAAAUCAAGCACACUGAGAAAAAAUAACUUUCUUGUUGUUGUCAUGUCUUUGUGUUUUUAAUUUGCUUAAAUUACAAUUAUUAUUAUUGUUAUUUGUAUUAUUGUUAUUAUUUUCCCUAAAUUAAUAUUUGUUUUGAAACUUGUGUGAGAGAAGGGGGCUUCUGUAACCUGGUGCAGUUUGACAAGAUGUAGGACUAUUUGAAUUUCAGUAUUUUAUUACUAACAUAGACAUUUUUGGGUAUGUUGUCAAUUACAGAUCUUAGAAAGUCAGAAGCACCCAAAAUCAGAAUCAGCAGGUCAGAUUAAAAAAAAGGAGGAAAUCAGAAUUGGCCAUGAAAAUUGUCAUCAGUGCAUCUCUACAUAUAAUUGUAAAUUGGUUGGUUACACCACUAGGUGGAGACAAAUUGAACUGAGUUUCAUUGCAUUGAUACCUGUUAUCCUAAAAUGUUGUUUCAUAUCAG
rnacentral:lncRNA from 1 species